CAGAGAGUUGAAUGGAUGGAUGGAUGGACAGACAGACAGGUGAAUAGAUGGAUGGAUGGAUGGAUGGAUGGAUAGAUGGAUGGACAGACAGGUGAAUAGAUGGAUGGAUGGAUGGAGGGAUAGAUGGAUGGACAGACAGGUGAAUAGAUGGAUGGAUGGACGGAUGGAUAGAUGGAUGGACAGACAGGUGAGUAGAUGGAUGGAUGGAUGGAUGGACAGACAGGUGAAUAGAUAGAUGGAUGGAUGGACAGACAGGUGAAUAGAUAGAUGUAUGGAUUUAUAGAUGGAUGGACAGACAGGUGAAU
ensembl:lncRNA